rnacentral:rRNA from 1 species
AGAGUUUGAUCAUGGCUCAGGACGAACGCUGGCGGCGUGCCUAACACAUGCAAGUCGUACGGGCUUGGGGGCAACUCCAAGUCAGUGGCGAACGGGUGCGUAACACGUGAGAAAUCUAACAUUCGGCGGGGGAUAGCCGGCCCAACGGCCGGGUAAUACCGCGUACGCUCUUCGAGGGGCAUCUCUUGGGGAGGAAAGCAGCAAUGCGCCGAAUGGGGAUCUCGCGGCCUAUCAGCUAGUUGGUGAGGUAAUGGCUCACCAAGGCGACGACGGGUAGCUGGUCUGAGAGGAUGGCCAGCCACAUUGGGACUGAGACACGGCCCAGACUCCUACGGGAGGCAGCAGUGGGGAAUCUUGCGCAAUGGGCGAAAGCCUGACGCAGCGACGCCGCGUGUGGGAUGACGGCCUUCGGGUUGUAAACCACUGUCGGGAGGGACGAAUACAUGACGGUACCUCCAAAGGAAGCACCGGCUAACUCCGUGCCAGCAGCCGCGGUAAUACGGAGGGUGCGAGCGUUGUCCGGAAUCACUGGGCGUAAAGGGCGCGUAGGUGGCCCGGUAAGUAGGGGGUGAAAUCUUGCGGCUCAACCGCAAGGCUGCCUUCUAAACUGCCAGGCUUGAGCACAGUAGAGGCAGGUGGAAUUCCCGGUGUAGCGGUGGAAUGCGUAGAGAUCGGGAAGAACAUCGGUGGCGAAGGCGGCCUGCUGGGCUGUUGCUGACACUGAGGCGCGACAGCGUGGGGAGCAAACAGGAUUAGAUACCCUAGUAGUCC